rnacentral:sRNA from 2 species
AUAUCUCUCUGUACGGGAAGGAUGAGAAGCUUCGACCAAGGUUCGAUUCGAGCGUCAGCGAGAAAGCGUUGCCGCAGGCAACGACCCGAAGGGCGAAGCGCGCAGCGCUGAGU